AAGCACUUUAUAAUGAGCUAGAAUCAAUAUUUUAUCUAAAAUUUGAAAAUAUGGACACUUUUUUUUCUAAUUAUACAGUUCAUGAAUUAAGCGCCCUUCUUAAGCGUUGGUUAAGGGAACUUCCACAGCCUUUACUUACUAACGAACUUGUUCAAUUAUUUUAUCAAUGCCACAAACUAUCAUCGUUGGAUCAAAAAAAGGCUUUUUCACUUUUAUGUCAAUUGUUACCACAUGAGAAUCGCAAUACUUUUCGAGCGUUGUUAAGAUUUUUAAGCAAUAUAAUCCAUUUACAAAAUGAAAACAAAAUGAAUUUACACAACGUAGCUACGAUAAUAGCUCCUUCCUUUUUUCCACCUCAAAAUGUUCAUCCAAUUGACAAAAACAGCAUCGAAGAGCAAGUGAAAAUGGCUGCAAUAUGCUGUCGUUUGACAAAUGUUUUGAUUACACGUGGCGAAAAACUUUUUCAGGUUCCGAAAAAUUUAAUAACGGAAUCAAAGAGUAAAAAAAAAAUAAUGCGAAAAAAAAAGUUUUUCCAGCUGGAGGUAAUGGAAAAUUCCAAUGAAAACACAGCUAUUUCAACAUUAAUUAAUGAGGAAUCAAAAACAAAAAACCAUGUACAUCACACUGUUGUAUAGUAUAGAGGAUUAUAUCAAGUUAUAUAAAUAUUGUAUUUGUAAUUGGUGCUCCAAUUUAUUUUAUUUUCUGUGAUAAAUUCAUGCUUUUUCUUAGCAAUUAUGAAGUCUUCAAGGACUUUGUUCGAGAUUAUUUCCAACGAGGAGGUAGUACAUUCAAUAUAAUAGUCGCGUCGGAGCAGUUUUUAUUUCUUUUUAUAAGUAAAUUUUGGUAGUCAAGGGUAUUUACAUGCAUAUAUACAUGAAUAAACAACUAUAAUAACAUGUAAUGAAUUAAAUUUAAAAUUUUCUCCCUUAAAAAGUUAUAACAGACUUUUUAAUCGAAAUAUACAAAUACACACAUACUCAA
rnacentral:sRNA from 1 species